rnacentral:rRNA from 9 species
UAAACGACUCUCGGCAACGGAUAUCUCGGCUCACGCAUCGAUGAAGAACGUAGCAAAAUGCGAUACUUGGUGUGAAUUGCAGAAUCCCGUGAACCAUCGAGUUUUUGAACGCAAGUUGCGCCCGAAGCCUUCUGGCUGAGGGCACGUCUGCCUGGGCGUCACG